GAUGAACGCUGGCGGCGUGCUUAACACAUGCAAGUCGAACGGGAUCCCAGGAGCUUGCUCCUGGGUGAGAGUGGCGAACGGGUGAGUAAUGCGUGACCGACCUGCCCCAUACACCGGAAUAGCUCCUGGAAACGGGUGGUAAUGCCGGAUGCUCCAGUUGGAUGCAUGUCCUUCUGGGAAAGAUUCAUCGGUAUGGGAUGGGGUCGCGUCCUAUCAGCUUGAUGGCGGGGUAACGGCCCACCAUGGCUUCGACGGGUAGCCGGCCUGAGAGGGCGACCGGCCACAUUGGGACUGAGAUACGGCCCAGACUCCUACGGGAGGCAGCAGUGGGGAAUAUUGCACAAUGGGCGCAAGCCUGAUGCAGCGACGCCGCGUGCGGGAUGACGGCCUUCGGGUUGUAAACCGCUUUUGACUGGGAGCAAGCCCUUCGGGGUGAGUGUACCUUUCGAAUA
rnacentral:rRNA from 1 species